rnacentral:rRNA from 1 species
AUACGAAGGGGGCUAGCGUUGUUCGGAAUUACUGGGCGUAAAGCGCGCGUAGGCGGAUACUUAAGUCAGGGGUGAAAUCCCGAGGCUCAACCUCGGAACUGCCCUUGAUACUGGGUAUCUUGAGUUCGAGAGAGGUAAGUGGAAUUCCGAGUGUAGAGGUGAAAUUCGUAGAUAUUCGGAGGAACACCAGAGGCGAAGGCGGCUUACUGGCUCGAUACUGACGCUGAGGCGCGAAAGCGUGGGGAGCAAACAGGAUUAGAAACCCUGGUAGUCC